rnacentral:rRNA from 1 species
UGAGGAAUAUUGGUCAAUGGGCGAAAGCCUGAACCAGCCAUGUCGCGUGCAGGAUAACGGCCUACGGGUUGUAAACUGCUUUUUCACGGGAAGCGGUACCGUGCGAAUAAGGAUCGGCUAACUCCGUGCCAGCAGCCGCGGUAAUACGGAGGAUCCGAGCGUUAUCCGGAUUUAUUGGGUUUAAAGGGUGCGUAGGCGGGACAUUAAGUCAGUGGUGAAAUUCUGGGGCUCAACUUCAGGACUGCCAUUGAUACUGAUGUUCUUGAGUACAGUAGAGGUAGGCGGAACGUGGUAUGUAGCGGUGAAAUGCGUAGAUAUGCCACUGAACACCGAUUGCGAAGGCAGCUUACUAUAGUGUCACUGACGCUGAUGCACGAAAGCGUGGGUAUCAAACAGGAUUAGAUACCCGUGUAGU